AACGAACGCUGGCGGCAGGCCUAACACAUGCAAGUCGAGCGAGACCUUCGGGUCUAGCGGCGGACGGGUGAGUAACGCGUGGGAAUAUGCCCUUUUCUACGGAAUAGCCUCGGGAAACUGAGAGUAAUACCGUAUACGCCCUUCGGGGGAAAGAUUUAUCGGAGAAGGAUUAGCCCGCGUUGGAUUAGGUAGUUGGUGGGGUAAUGGCCUACCAAGCCUACGAUCCAUAGCUGGUUUGAGAGGAUGAUCAGCCACACUGGGACUGAGACACGGCCCAGACUCCUACGGGAGGCAGCAGUGGGGAAUCUUAGAAAAUGGGGGAAACCCUGAUCUAGCCAUGCCGCGUGAGUGAUGAAGGCCUUAGGGUUGUAAAGCUCUUUCAGCUGGGAAGAUAAUGACGGUACCAGCAGAAGAAGCCCCGGCUAACUCCGUGCCAGCAGCCGCAGUAA
rnacentral:rRNA from 1 species